UAGAUUGAAGCCAGUUGNNNUAGGCGUUUAGCUGUUAACUAAAUGUUUGUAGGUUUAAAUCCUGCCAAUCUAG
rnacentral:tRNA from 1 species